GCACAUUACACAAACAAGCAAAAAUAAUGUGGAAUAUGGUAAGAACUGUAGAAUAAACUGAAAUACAAAUUACAAAGGAGGCUCGAUGAGCAUUUGAACAUCAUUUUCAUUUCCAUAAUUUUCUCAUAUCUUACCAAAAUAUAUAUCAAAAAUUGAAGGACAAAGAAAAAAAAAAGAUCAGCAGAUACACAGAAAAUCUAAAAUCUCUCCAGAAUGCUUUAUGUACCUAAGCUCCACUGUGACCAGCAGUCAAGAAUUUGAAUGCUUCCUACAAAAAGACUCCCAGUUGUACCUAAUUGUCCGAGAUGCCUGUUACACAUGGACAUUAUGGGGAGAUGGUUACAUCCAUUUGCCUUGCUCAGUAGCAUUUAUUUAAGCCAACCAUAAAAAUCCUGAGACAGAGAAAACCUUAAUUUCCGUCUAGGUGAUUGUACUCUGGAAAAGAUGUAAUGAGGACAGAUGAAUGUCCAACUCUUGCUGGUGAAGUCUCUUAAUGCUCGCCUCUCAAUUUAAGUGUAAAGUAGUUUUGCUUCCUCCAGAGAAAACAUUUCAAUCAGCCAUUUCUAGGGCUGGUGGGUUGACCAGCUGUCUUAGGCGGCAUUAUUACUCUUAUAAUGACACAACAAAAUGAGAUAGGACUGCUCCAUGAAUGAUGUCUUUUCCUCACAAUAUAGUUAGGUUUUUAUUCAUUUUACUGAAUGUGCUUUAGAAAAUGAAGCAUCUGCCUGUUUGCCUUUCAAGAGCUCAGUGACAAUAUGACAUUUUAAUGCCUUGCUUUAUCUUUCUGUGUUUUUUUUUUAAAUUUGCUUUUGCUUUCUGCAUUUCAUUCUUAAGUUUUGUCAGCAGAAUGAAAGAGUGUAGAGGUUACCAACAUGUAUGAAAUGCUUUAUGGCAUGGGUUAAAGCUAGGUCUUUAAAAUCAAGCCCAUUUGUACUUUUCUGUUUAAAUAUAAAAUUAAUUUUUGUCACAUAUAGUCUGCAACUAAUCAUUGGUAUAUUCAUUCCAAAAUGUUUGUCUUUUCUUUCCUGAGUAUCACGGUGAGCAUCAUAUAUUGACUAAAACAGACAUGGUGCCCACCCUUACAGAGCUUACAGUGCCAGAGGGAGAGCAGGUAAAUGCCCAGAUACAUAUUGAACUCACAACCAUUAUAAGACUUAUGAAGAAAAGAAAGAUGAUUAUCAAAGAGUAUGAAAGUGAGAACUGAAAUACCAGAAAGUACCUAUAAAAAGGAAUGUUUAAGGUUGAAAUAGAAAACAUAGGUAGGCAAAGAAUGAAGAAAGAGCAUUCUGAGGAAAAGGAACAGCCUAUGUGAAAACAGGGAGGCAGGAAAAAACUAGGUACCGUGUAUAUUCUGGCACUGGCAGUAGGCAGAGAGACACCUCCAUCACAGGUGUCCAGACCUCAUCCCCAGAACCUGGGGAUAUUUUAAGGGACUCGCCAAAGGGGCUUUGCAGAUGAGGGAGUUAAAGAUUUUGAGCUAGGUAAAUUAAGUUGUCCUGGAUCCUCUGAAUUUGCACAAUGUUAUCACAUGAGUCCUUUUGGGCUAUGGUCAGAAGGAGAUAUCAUUAGAAAAAACAUGGUCAAAAAGAUGAAACUGUGCUAGCUUUGAAGAUGAAGAAGGGGGCAAACACCAGCAAAACAAUGUGGCAUCCUCUAGAAGCUGGAAAAGGCAAGGACACAGACGCUCCAUUUUUUUCUUCUGACAAUAAUUCAGACCUGCAUAACUUGCGUUCAGCUCAGAGAUAACCUUGUCAGAUUUCUAACUUACAGAACUUUAAGAUAAUGAAUUUUGUGGUAAUUUUUUGUAAGACCAAUAGAAAACUAAUACACUUUUACUCUUUCCACCAUGAAGAAAAAAAGAAUAGUCCAUCUUCUGUGAAUCAAGACAUCCUCUGUCACUAAACAAUGGGAAAUCAUGCAUCUGAACAUGGAAAUCAGUGUAGCAGGAAACAGAGGUCUUGGAAUCAAAUAGGAGCCAUAUACACAUUUGAUUUUAUAUUUGGUCAUUUGUAAAGUGGGGGUGUGAUAGUUAAAUAGGAAAAGUAGGUGGAUGGGUAGAUAGGUCAAUAGAUCAUACAUACAUACAUGCAUUCAUACACGCAUGUACAAAUAUAUCAAUACAUAGACACAUACACAGAUAUAUACUAUUAUGAGAUAAUUUUUUUAAAAGUAUCUGAAAGUACUUGGCACCUAGUGAAAAUUCACUGACUGUGACCCCUAGCUGUGGCAUACCUGUGAACCCUAAUUUUUAAACAGUCUUUGGAAACAUCUCCAUCUUCUCUCAUACCUAGUAUCAAUUUACAUGGUGGUCAGAAGAAAAGUUAGUUCUCAGGUUUUCAUUUUUGCUUCUGCUUCCAAAGAAUUAGCACUGCUUUUCCUUUUCCACUUCUAAAUUAGCAAAUUGAUAGAACAUCAUUUGAUAAUCUCUUUAAAAAUUAGGAAAGACAGGGAGCUUCUGUCCUUGGCACAGUGGAAACGAAUCUGACUAGUAUCCAUGAGGAUGUGGGUUUGAUCCCUGGCCUUGCUCAGUGGGUUAAAGAUCCAGUGUUGCUAUGAGCUGUGGUAUAGGUUGCAGAUGUGGCUCAGAUCUGGCGUUGCUGUGGUUGUGGUGUAGGCCAGCAGAUGUAGCUCUGAUUUGACCCCUAGUCUGGGAACUUCCAUAUGCUGAAGGUGCAGCCCUAAAAGAAAAAAAAAAUUAGGAAAGACAGGAGUUUCCUCACUGGCCAGGGAACUUCUGUAUGCCAUGGGCACAGCCAAAAGAAAUUUUUAAAUAAUAGAUAAAUAAUAAAUGAAUACAUAUAAAAUUUAGGAAAGACAGAAACAUACCCCACAAUCUAAUACCUCUUUCCCUUCAAGAAUACCCAAGUUUGUCAACAGUUUUUAGAUUGUAAGAUUAUCUAUAUUCAAUUUUCCAUAAUAUGUUGCCCUAUCUUUCAAAAUAUAGAGGGAAUUAUUAUACCUCUUUGUUGCGAGACAUGUUUUUAUAAUAUUUUCUUAGCCUCUUUGCUGAAAACUCCAUGUUGUCCUUCCUUACUUUGCCCUGUCUUUCCUGCUU
rnacentral:lncRNA from 1 species